UUUCCGUAGGUGAACCUGCGGAAGGAUCAUUCACAAUAAGUGUUUUAUGGCACUUUUUAAACAAUACAUAUCCACCUUCUGUGCAACGUUAUGAGACCUUCUAUCGUGAUCUUUUAUGUUAGUGAAGGUGGAAACUCUACAACUUACCAACAUCACCUUUUACUUAUUUGUCUGAACAUUUCUUAUCAUGAAUUAAAUUAAUUCGAAAACACAACUUUCAACAACGGAUCUCUUGGCUCUC
rnacentral:misc_RNA from 1 species